rnacentral:rRNA from 1 species
GUUGAGCGGAGAUAUAUGGAGCUUGCUUUAUAUAACUUAGCAGCGAACGGGUGAGUAACACGUAGAUAAUCUAUCCUAUACUGGGGGAUAGCCCGAUGAAAGUUGGAUUAAUACCGCAUAUAGCUAUAUAGUUGCAUGAUUAUGUAGUGAAAGAUUUAUUGGUAUAGGAGGAGUCUGCGGCACAUUAGCUAGUAGGUGAGGUAAAGGCUUACCUAGGCGACGAUGUGUAGCCGGUCUGAGAGGAUGAACGGCCACAAUGGAACUGAGACACGGUCCAUACUCCUACGGGAGGCAGCAGUGGGGAAUAUUGCACAAUGGGGGAAACCCUGAUGCAGCAACGCCGCGUGAGUGAAGAAGGUAUUCGGAUUGUAAAGCUCUGUUAGCAGGGAAGAGGAAGGACGGUACUUGCAGAGGAAGCCACGGCUAACUACGUGCCAGCAGCCGCGGUAAUACGUAGGUGGCAAGCGUUGUUCGGAAUAACUGGGCGUAAAGGAUGCGUAGGCGGUUAAACAAGUUAUAUGUUAAAUAUAUAGGCUUAACCUGUAGAAAGCAUAUAAAACUGUUUAACUAGAGUGCAGGAGAGGUAAGUGGAAUUCCUAGUGUAGCGGUGAAAUGCGUAGAGAUUAGGAAGAACACCAGUGGCGAAGGCGACUUACUGGACUGUAACUGACGCUGAGGCAUGAGAGCAUGGGGAGCAAACAGGAUUAGAUACCCUGGUAGUCCAU